UUGACUCAGAUGGGACCCUAAG
rnacentral:piRNA from 1 species